rnacentral:rRNA from 1 species
CUAUACAGUGAAACUGCGAAUGGCUCAUUAAAUCCGUUAUCGUGAUGGGUAGUACCUUACUACUUGGAUAACCGUGGUAAUUCUAAGACUAAUACAUGCUAAAAAUCCCGACCUCCGGAAGGGAUGUAUUUAUUAGAUAAAAAACCAAUGCCUUCGGGCUCCUUGGUGAUUCAUGAUAACUUAACGAAUCGCAUGGCCUUGCGCCGGCGAUGGUUCAUUCAAAUUUCUGCCCUAUCAACUUUCGAUGGUAGGAUAGUGGCCUACCAUGGUUUCAACGGGUAACGGGGAAUUAGGGUUCGAUUCCGGAGAGGGAGCCUGAGAAACGGCUACCACAUCCAAGGAAGGCAGCAGGCGCGCAAAUUACCCAAUCCCAAUUCGGGGAGGUAGUGACAAUAAAUACUGAUACAGGGCUCUUUUGGGCCUUGUAAUUGGAAUGAGUACAAUUUAAAUCCCUUAACGAGGAACAAUUGGAGGGCAAGUCUGGUGCCAGCAGCCGCGGUAAUUCCAGCUCCAAUAGCGUAUAUUAAAGUUGUUGCAGUUAAAAAGCUCGUAGUUGAACCUUGGGUCUGGCUGCUCGGUCCGCCUAACCGCGUGCACUGAUGCGGCCGGAUCUUUCCUUCUGGCUAACCUCAUGCCCUUUACUGGGUGUGCUGGGGAUCCAGGACUUUUACUUUGAAAAAAUUAGAGUGUUCAAAGCAGGCCUUUGCUCGAAUACAUUAGCAUGGAAUAAUAGAAUAGGACGGCGGUUCUAUUUUGUUGGUUUCUAGAGCCACCGUAAUGAUUAAUAGGGAUAGUCGGGGGCAUCAGUAUUCAAUUGUCAGAGGUGAAAUUCUUGGAUUUAUUGAAGACUAACUACUGCGAAAGCAUUUGCCAAGGAUGUUUUCAUUAAUCAGUGAACGAAAGUUAGGGGAUCGAAGACGAUCAGAUACCGUCGUAGUCUUAACCAUAAACUAUGCCGACUAGGGAUCGGUCGUUGCUCAAUUUAUGACCCGCUCGGCACCUUACGAGAAAUC